UGUGAUACCAGGCCGGUCCAGCAGGAGGCGAUAAUUCAACCGAUCGCUUCACGGCCGACAAACACCACCAGACGAAGAGCAACAGAAUAAGCAGCUCUGAUUGGUUACUGGAUCGUAUAAAGACAACAUGGCGCAGACUUCCGUCAGCAUUAGCAGCAUGGUUGUGGAUCGAGUAGGACCGUUAAAGGUGCUAAACCGCCUCUGUAGUCAGUUACUGAGCGACAGAAGCAGUCCGGGGGAGCUAACGGCUCCACAGCCGAAGAAACAGCUCGUUGUUCGGUGAACUUUGGGCGGUGUAAUCACUGAGAAAAUGACGCUAACGUUAGCUCCAGCCUCUACUGUGGACUGAGGACCAGAGAGCUGAAGAUGGCCAUGGCUCCAGCAGCUACGCUCCCCCACGCCACCUGAACGGGAACUCUGCCUCUGGGUCCAGCUUCAGAGGAUCUGUGACUGGAAACAACAUGAUCCAGUCUAGAGGAACGGACGCCACCUCCCACCCAGUGAAGCUGAUGUCAGACCUUGCAGCACAGCGGAAGUCUGGAGUUGGAGUAGCUGGAGGCUGCAGAUGUUCAGCUAACCCUGAGGGCUGUCUCACUAAACCAGGAUAUCCCAGUUAGCCUGGACUCUGUUUAGCCUGGACUCUGUUUAGCCUGGACUCUGUUUAGCCUGGACUCUGUUUAGCCUGGACUCUGUUUAGCCUGGACUCUGUUUAGCCUGGACUCUGUUUAGCCUGGACUCUGUUUAGCCUGGACUCUGUUUAGCCUGGACUCUGUUUAGCCUGGACUCUGUUUAGCCUGGACUCUGUUUAGCCUGGACUCGGUUUAGCCUGGACUCUGUUUAGCCUGGACUCGGUUUAGCCUGGACUCGGUUUAGCCUGGACUCGGUUUCACAAAAGCAGAGGGACCUAAAUUACCAUGGAGAUUUAUUCUGCCCCAACCAGGCUAACGACCAGCCUGCCCCCCCAACCAGCCUGCCCCCCCGACCAGCCUGCCCCUUUUCUGUUCACUCAGUGCUUUUACUUAUCAGCCUGCAUUCAAAUACAACUUUGCUACUCAGUUAUUUGAAGUUGUGACCAUUACUUGUUAUGAUUCAUGUGUCAUUGUUACUGUUAGAGAUGGCUGAUAAAGUUGCCAAAUGUUUUUUUUAAAAUAGUCUGUUAAGGGCAAUACAUACAAUGCUGUACAUGUGUUUCUGUAGUGCACCAAUGCACCUUAAAUUAUUUGAUUUUUGUAUUGAACAA